rnacentral:rRNA from 1 species
AUGAACAAGGUCUUUAGGUGCAAGAUCACCGUCCAGGGUAUUGCGCUCAACCACACUUGGAAGGCUAUGGAGGAUGGUGAUGCAUAUCAUUGUACUAAUCUGAAUUGUGUUAACAGGACUGCUAGCCCUAGGUACAAGCUUCCUAUAAUCGCAGCUGAUGGAAACGCUACAGUGGAAAUGGUUUUCUUUGGUGAUGUUGAUAGGGAUGUUGUGGGCAGGCCAGCUGAUCAGGUGCUGGAGAGUUUUCUAGCAAAUAGCUCCGUCAUGCCAGCAAAGAUAAUGACUCUGGUUGGAAGGAAAUAUAUUGUAGAGGUCACGGUGUCAAAGUAUUCUUGUAGGAGAGACAAGGAUGGGCUGAGCUUUCCAGUGCUCAAAUUUUUCACGGAGGCUGGUUUUAUGUACCACGAUUUUGUUGUGGGUGUGGGUUCUUCCAGUAGCGCUCCAAUGCAGCAAGUUCCAUUUUCUGGAGGUGUACAUACCAGCCAUGCAGAGCUUCCUCAGGGUACCUGCUCGCUUCCAGUGGCCAUGAUGAAUACAGUUUCUAGCGUGCACACCAGUCAUGCUGAGCUUCCUCAGGACACUUCCUCACUUCCUAACGUGCGCACCAGUAAUACUGAGUUUCCUCAAGGCACUUCCUCACUUCCAGGGGACAUGUUGGGGACUGAAAUGCAGAAUCCAAAUCUUACUAAUGUUGCUCAGCUCAUGUCCAUGCGCCGAGAAGACAUGCUGCAAACACAGUCCCAUAACGUAUGCACUGCUGAUGUGCCGGACAAGACUAAGGUGAAGGAGACCAAGAAUAAAAGGUCACGUUGGAGUAAUGCAAAGUCGAUUGCAUCUAAAAACUUGUUCGUUGAUGGGAGCGACACAGCUGGACAUAGGGUGGACGAUAAGUGA